rnacentral:rRNA from 1 species
CCUACGGGCGGCUGCAGUGGGGAAUAUUGGACAAUGGGCGAAAGCCUGAUCCAGCCAUGCCGCGUGUGUGAAGAAGGCCUUCGGGUUGUAAAGCACUUUCAGUGGGGAAGAAAGCCUUGGGGCUAAUACCCUCGAGGAAGGACAUCGCCCACAGAAGAAGCACCGGCUAACUCCGUGCCAGCAGCCGCGGUAAUACGGAGGGUGCGAGCGUUAAUCGGAAUUACUGGGCGUAAAGCGCGCGUAGGCGGUCUGAUAAGCCGGUUGUGAAAGCCCCGGGCUCAACCUGGGAACGGCAUCCGGAACUGUCAGGCUAGAGUGCAGGAGAGGAAGGUAGAAUUCCCGGUGUAGCGGUGAAAUGCGUAGAGAUCGGGAGGAAUACCAGUGGCGAAGGCGGCCUUCUGGACUGACACUGACGCUGAGGUGCGAAAGCGUGGGUAGCAAACAGGAUUAGAUACCCGAGUAGUC